AGCGAACGCUGGCGGCAUGCCUAACACAUGCAAGUCGAACGAGACCUUCGGGUCUAGUGGCGUACGGGUGCGUAACGCGUGGGAACCUGCCCUUAGGUUCGGAAUAACUCCCCGAAAGGGGUGCUAAUACCGGAUAAUGUCUUCGGACCAAAGAUUUAUCGCCUUUGGAUGGGCCCGCGUUGGAUUAGCUAGUUGGUAGGGUAAAAGCCUACCAAGGCGACGAUCCAUAGCUGGUCUGAGAGGAUGAUCAGCCACACUGGGACUGAGACACGGCCCAGACUCCUACGGGAGGCAGCAGUGGGGAAUAUUGGACAAUGGGCGAAAGCCUGAUCCAGCAAUGCCGCGUGAGUGAUGAAGGCCUUAGGGUUGUAAAGCUCUUUUACCCGGGAUGAUAAUGACAGUACCGGGAGAAUAAGCUCCGGCUAACUCCGUG
rnacentral:rRNA from 1 species